rnacentral:rRNA from 1 species
CAACUUGAGAGUUUGAUUCUGGCUCAGAACGAACGCUGGCGGCAGGCUUAACACAUGCAAGUCGAGCGGUAGCACAGAGAGCUUGCUCUCGGGUGACAAGCGGCGGACGGGUGAGUAACGCGUAGGAAUCUACCUAGUAGUGGGGGACAACAGUUGGA